UAACGUCAGUCACGGGAAGUCGUAGGCACGGGGUUGAAAUCGGUUCCCCAAAACAGGAAAUCCAGUUCAAAGGCAAAGAAACGUAUUUUCAUCUAGAAAUACUUCGUUUCAGUUGUCGGAAAACCUACCAGGCAGCAGCGCUAGUAUUGUGGAUGAAAUGAUACGACUUGUCUUAUGUGACAGAUUCUUCAUAACGUGUUGCAGGGCAUUUGAUUUGGAGAACAAGCUGCAGCUGAACUAAGUUCUGAAGAUGCCACGUUUCAGAGCAUUACUGGAAAACCUGCAACAGAGGCUCAAAGUGGAUCUCUUCAGAGAAAUUGUCCGCCAGUAUCCUGUGUUCUGUUUCAUUGUACUGUUUCUUCUGUUAUCCACUGUUCUUUUAAACAGGUAUCUUCAUAUUUUGAUGAUCUUUUGGUCAUUCCUGGCUGGAGUUGUCACAUUUUACUGCGCAUUAGGACCAGAAUCUCUUCUUCCUAAUAUCCUGUUCACAAUCAAGCCUAAACCUAAGAAUCUAGAGCUGCAAGAGUUAUUUCCCCUGGGGCAUAGCUGUGCAGUCUGUGGGAAAAUAAAAUGUAAACGUCACAGACCAACACUGCUGCUUGAAAACUAUCAACCAUGGUUGGACCUGAAAGUAUUCUCAAAGGUGGACACGUCACUUUCAGAAGUGCUGGAGUUAGUGCUGGAAAAUUUUGUUUAUCCCUGGUAUAGGGACCUUACAGAUGAUGAAGCCUUUGUGGAUGAACUGAGAGUAACACUGCGUUUUUUUGCUGCAGUGAUGGUUCGCAGAGCUCAAAAGGUCGAUGUUCCGGCACUUAUAACAUGCAAGUUACUUAAAGUUGCAAUGAAACAUAUUGAAAUAAUUGCUAAGGCAAGACAGAGAGUGAAGAAUACAGAAUAUUUGCAGCAGGCUGCGGUAGAGGAGUAUGGGCCAGACUUGCAUGUAGCUGUACGAAGCCGAAGAGAUGAACUGCUGUACUUGAGAAAGUUAACCGAGCUUCUCUUCCCUUACAUUCUUCCUCCCAAAGGAACAGAUUGCAGGUCUCUUACGUUGCUCAUUCGAGAAAUUCUAUCCGGUUCAGUUUUUCUUCCAUCUCUGGACUUUUUGGCCGAUCCUGAUACUGUGAACCAUUUGCUUCUUUUGUUCAUCGAUGACACUCCUCCGGAACCCAACACUGAGCCUCCUUCAGCUUUGGUCCCGUUCCUGCAGAAGUAUGCUGAGCCGAGAAAUAAGAAACCAUCUGUGCUUAAGCUGGAGUUGAAGGAGAUACGAGAGCAGCAGGACCUUCUCUUCCGCUUCAUGAACUUUUUGAAACAGGAGGGUGCUGUCCAUGUGCUGCAGUUCUGUCUUACUGUGGAGGAGUUUAAUGACAAGAUCUUGUGUCCUGAGCUGACAGACUCGGCAAUGCUCUCUCUACAUAAAGAGGUGAUAAAAAUCUACGAGACCUACUGUUUGGAUGAGAGCAUAGACAAAAUUCGAUUCGAUCCUUUCAUUGUAGAGGAAAUAAGGAACAUUGCAGAAGGGCCAUAUCAAGGUGUUGUGAAGCUGCAGACCAUGCGCUGCCUUUUUGAGGCCUAUGAGCAUGUCUUGUCUUUGCUAGAGAAGGUCUUCACACCUAUGUUUUGCCACAGCGACGAGUAUUUUAGACAGCUCUUAAGGGGUGCGGAAUCCCCUGCCCGGAACUCCAGGCUUAGUAGAAAUAGCGUGAGUUUGGAUGAUAUCCGCUCUGAUCAGGAUUAUAUGCAGGGCACUGAACCUUCAUCCGUAGCACAGGCUGCCACCAUGAGCCCAGGGCCUUCAUCUGCAUCUGUUUUCCCUCAUGUCCAAUCAAUUAUAACACUCCCGUCUGGCAUUUUUCUAUCUCUCCCUGCUGCUUUAAAGAACACCUCUAAACGUGGAGAAUCAUUUGGGAUAAGCCGGAUUGGCAGUAAAAUAAAAGGAGUGUUUAAAAGUACCACUCUGGAAGGGGCUAUGCUUCCGUCCUACGGCUUAGCGGAAGGAGAGGAUGACUUGGUUGAAGAAGCUAUAAUGGUGCUUGAAGACGACUCGCCUGUGGAGGGGAUCAGCACUCCAAGCACUCCGCGGAACCUCUCUGCCUGGAACAUAACUAUCCCCUAUGUGGACUUCUUUGAUGACAUUAAGAAAGAACGGAUUCCUGUGUUCUGCAUAGAUGUGGAACGGAAUGACAGGAAGGCAGUGGGUCAUGAAACUGAACACUGGUCUGUAUACAGAAGAUACCUGGAAUUCUAUGUCUUGGAAUCAAAACUGACAGAAUUUCAUGGCUCAUUUUCAGACACUCAGCUUCCCUCUAAAAGAAUUAUUGGACCCAAGAACUAUGAGUUCUUACAGUCGAAGAGGGAAGAGUUCCAGGAGUACCUGCAGAAACUUUUACAGCAUCCAGAGUUGAGCAAUAGCCAGUUAUUGGCAGAUUUCUUAUCCCCCAAUGGGGGUGAGUCACAGUUUCUUGAUAAAAUGCUGCCAGAUGUCAAUUUAGGAAAAAUGAUAAAAGCUGUACCUGGCAAAUUGAUAAAAGAGAAAGGGCAGCAUUUAGAGCCUUUCAUUGUGUCCUUCUUCAGUUCCUGUGAAUCUCCAAAACCUAAACCAAGCAGGCCUGAACUGACCAUUGUAAGCCCAACUUCAGAGAACAAUAAGAAGCUUUUCAAUGACUUGUUCAAAAACAACGCCAAUCGCUCAGACAGUACAGAGAAAAAAUAUAAUCAAAACUACUUUAUGGAGAUGAUAACAGUGGAGGGAGUCUAUGAUUACUUGAUGUAUGUCGGGCGAGUUGUCUUUCACAUCCCUGACUGGCUACAUCACCUGUUGAGUGGCGGACGAAUGCUUUUCAAGAACACACUUGAAACCUACACUGACUAUUACCUGCAGUACAAGUUGGAUCAGGUCCUUCAGGAACACAGAGCUGUCUCUAUGAUAACUCUUUUAAGAGAUGCUGUGUUUUGUGAGAACAGUGAACCUCGCUCUUGUGAAGACAAACAAAAAAGAGCAAAAAAGACAUUUGAGGAAAUGAUGAACUACAUUCCAGAUUUCAUUGUGAAAUGCAUUGGCGAAGAGGCUAAAUAUGAAGGUGUAAGACUGCUGUUUGAUGGGUUACAACAACCAGUGCUGAACAAACAGCUGACAUACGUUCUGUUGGAUAUUGCAGUCCUGGAGCUUUUUCCAGAGCUCAAUAAGGCACAUUGUUAAUUUGAACAGGUACCACUGGCUGUACCAUACUGUUUAUAACUGUACGCUGGCCUGGAUAACCAGACUGGAUUUACACUACAUAGCUGAUGUUGUGCAACAGCCCAGCAGGUGCAAAAGGAGGUGUCCACUAUGGCAUCUUGGAUGUAGGCAAGCACACCGAUUUUAACUUGAUUCCAAUGAUGUGCAAUACAUUUCUUAUUGAAUUUCCUUAUCAAUACAUUUCUGUAUUAAAAAAGCAAAACCAUUUCAUCUACCAACACUAAAACUUCAUUGCACUAAUAAAAACAAAAUAUUUAUUGAUUUGAAAA